GGGUUUGACAUAUAGGUUGUAGGGAACUGAAAAGGGACCGACCCUUCGGGGAGCCGUAUACAGGUGUUGCAUGGCUGUCGUCAGUCUCGUGUCGUGAGAUGUUCGGUUAAGUCCGCUAACGAGCGCAACCCUCGUCGUAUCGUUAUAUGUGUCAUACGAGACUGCCGGUAAAAGCCGGAGGAAGGUUGAGGAUGAUGUCAAGUCAGCAUGACCUUUAUAUCCAGGGCUACACACACGCUACAAUGGUCUGUACAAUGGGUAGCCAAGCCGCGAGGCGGAGCCAAUCCUGAAAGACAGGCCUCAGUUCAGAUUGCAGUCUGCAACUCGACUGCAUGAAGCCGGAGUUGCUAGUAACCGCAGGUCAGCAAUACUGCGGUGAAUACGUUCCCGGGUCUU
rnacentral:rRNA from 1 species